rnacentral:rRNA from 1 species
AGUGAACGCUGGCGGCAGGCCUAACACAUGCAAGUCGAACGGCAGCGCAGGGGAGCUUGCUCCCCGGGCGGCGAGUGGCGGACGGGUGAGGAAUACGUCGGAAUCUGCCUUUUUGUGGGG